UAAAACGUAGGUGGCGAGCGUUAUCCGGAUUUACUGGGCGUAAAGCGUGUGCAGGUGGACUGAUAAGUGGUGUAUGAAAUCGCCGCGCUCAACGUGGCGGGGUUAUGCCAGACUGUCAGUCUAGAGGUCGAGAGAGGGAUGUGGAAUUCCGGGUGUAGUGGUGAAAUGCGUAGAGAUCCGGAGGAACCCCAGAGGCGAAGGCGGCAUCCUGGCUCGACACUGACACUCAGACACGACAGCAUGGGGAGCGAACGGGAUUAGAAACCCCGGUAGUCCAUGCCGUAAACGAUGCCAACUAGGCGCUGGAGGUCUCAACCCCUUCGGUGCCGCAGCAAACGCGAUAAGUUGGCCGCCUGGGGAGUACGGCCGCAAGGCUA
rnacentral:rRNA from 1 species